GAUGAACGCUGGCGGCGUGCCUAAUACAUGCAAGUCGAGCGAAUGGAUUAAGAGCUUGCUCUUAUGAAGUUAGCGGCGGACGGGUGAGUAACACGUGGGUAACCUGCCCAUAAGACUGGGAUAACUCCGGGAAACCGGGGCUAAUACCGGAUAACAUUUUGAACCGCAUGGUUCGAAAUUGAAAGGCGGCUUCGGCUGUCACUUAUGGAUGGACCCGCGUCGCAUUAGCUAGUUGGUGAGGUAACGGCUCACCAAGGCAACGAUGCGUAGCCGACCUGAGAGGGUGAGCGGCCACACUGGGACUGAGACACGGCCCAGACUCCUACGGUAGGCAGCAGUAGGGAAUCUUCCGCAAUGGACGAAAGUCUGACGGAGCAACGCCGCGUGAGUGAUGAAGGCUUUCGGGUCGUAAAACUCUGUUGUUAGGGAAGAACAAGUGCUAGUUGAAUAAGCUGGCACCUUGACGGUACCUAACCAGAAAGCCACGGCUAACUACGUGCCAGCCGCCGCGUAA
rnacentral:rRNA from 1 species